CGGCGGAGGGUGAGUCACGUGGGUAACCUGCCUGUAAGACUGGGAUAACUCCGGGAAACCGGAGCUAAUACCGGAUAGUUCCUUGAACCGCAUGGUUCAAGGAUGAAAGACGGUUUCGGCUGUCACUUACAGAUGGACCCGCGGCGCAUUAGCUAGUUGGUGAGGUAACGGCUCACCAAGGCGACGAUGCGUAGCCGACCUGAGAGGGUGAUCGGCCACACUGGGACUGAGACACGGCCCAGACUCCUACGGGAGGCAGCAGUAGGGAAUCUUCCGCAAUGGACGAAAGUCUGACGGAGCAACGCCGCGUGAGUGAUGAAGGUUUUCGGAUCGUAAAGCUCUGUUGUUAGGGAAGAACAAGUGCAAGAGUAACUGCUUGCACCUUGACGGUACCUAACCAGAAAGCCACGGCUAACUACGUGCCAGCAGCCGCGGUAAUACGUAGGUGGCAAGCGUUGUCCGGAAUUAUUGGGCGUAAAGGGCUCGCAGGCGGUUUCUUAAGUCUGAUGUGAAAGCCCCCGGCUCAACCGGGGAGGGUCAUGG
rnacentral:rRNA from 1 species